rnacentral:rRNA from 1 species
UGUAUCUGCAUAUCUUUGGUAAACAUAGAUAGCCUUCAGGGUGAUACACAGGUACUGCAUGGCCGUCGUCAGCUCGUGUCGUGAGAUGUAGGGUUAAGUCCCGAAACGAGCGCAACCCCUAUCCCAUGUUACAAGUGUCUUGGGAAACUGCCUCGGUAAAACGAGGAGGAAGGUGGGGAUGACGUCUGGUCCGCAUAGUCCUUAUGUCCUGGGCUACACACGCGCUACAAUGGUCGGUACAAUGGGCAGCCAAGCCGUAAGGCGGAGCUAAUCCUGUAAAACCGAUCUCAGUUCGGAUUGUGGGCUGAAACUCGCCCACAUGAAGUUGGAUUCGCUAGUAAUCGUGGAUCAGCCAUGCCACGGUGAAUACGUUCCCGGGUCUU